rnacentral:lncRNA from 1 species
CAACAACUUCUGUAGUCCCAUUUAACCACUUGUUAGUGACAACAUUUUUCAAGACAUGUAAAAGCUUAAAAACAAACAAUUGUAAACAAUGAUUAUAUGCCUUUUAGGACACUGUUGACAAGCAAGGCCUGGUGUGGAUGUUGAAGGAAGCACUUCAUAAGCUGAAGGACACAGCAGUCAGUUACACCAACAAAGCAGCUCUGGGUAAGUUUAUAUUGUUGGCUGUUCAGUUAUAAAUGGUUUUUAUGAAAGAUAGUGCUUCUUCCUGUACUUUAUGCCUUAUUUAUCUUUUCCAGCCAGCGACUCUCCUGUGGUAAACAGGCAGGUAAAGGAGGCCGAUAGUGAGACGGGAGUCGGUACAGAAGCUGCAGAAGCAGUAAGAUCCACCAUGGAGCGUGUGCUGGCUGCAUGGGUGUCCUACAAAGACUGCCUGUAUCUAUUACAGGCCUGCCUGGGGCAGGAGGGGCAAUCAGAGGAACAGGGGCAGGAGGUACUGUAAAGCAUUUGCCAUUAAAUACAGGAUUCAGUAUACAGUGGCCAAAAAAAGUGUUUGAACAUCUAAUUUGCACUUGAAAUGUAUGAAUGUCAUUUCUCUUAAGUUAGGGCAUAAUGUUUGAAUGUGGUUGCUUUUUAUCAGAGGUUCAUCUGUCUUGUGAUCUCUUUCAUAAUGCAGCACAAGCAUUUAUCCUCCAGCCUGAAUGAGUGGAGAUCACGUCAAGCCCAGCUAAAUGAGGCGGGAAACUUUCUCAUUGAUAUAAGUGAUGCCUCCACCAGCCACUCUCUGACUGAAGAGCUCCGCAGACUGAACAUACAGUGGGCUGACUUUAUAAAAAGGACCAAGUUUGCAGUGGCCCCUCAGCCCAUCGCUGCGGUCCCAGGGGUCCAAGCUGCUCAGUCCCUGAUGCAGGAAGCCAGCUGGGUGCUUAGAGAGACUGUGGAGGUGUCAUCUGGACCUCUACGUAUUUACAGAAAGAAACUCCAGGUAUUCUGAUCUUUCUGUCCUAGCUGUGCUUCAUACUGUUCAUAUUUUUUAUACUAGAUAUUUCUUCAUUUAUUUGUCUCUCUUAAUUUUUUUUUUCUUUUCCUUUGUCUUGACUGUUUCUCACAGUCAUUCUUCCACUCUCUUGUCAAGGAUAUUCAUGCUUGUCUUUUUUUUUCACUCAGGGCAUAAUUAAGAAGAUGUCAGCGUUCAAUUUGAACUCUUUGUCUCUGUCUCCAGACUACAAAGAAGAAACUCUCCAGAAACUCAGACAAACUCUUCCAGAGGUCAGGCAAUAUUCCUUUUAGGUUAUACAUAUAUGUAUUGUAGAUGUACAGUAAGAGACCAUUUAUCCAAAAAUGAAACAAUUUAUUACUUGUCCUCAGUUAUACAAUAGAACACAGAAAUACCAUUUUAAACAAUCUUCAUGAGUCAUCGAGUCUGUGAGUGAAUAAAUCACUCUUUUGAGUCAGUCCUUUCCAAUUAACUGGUUCAUCAGACUAAUUUAUUCAUAUUUUUACAUAUACAUUUAUUUGAAAUAGGGCUGUCACAAAAUCAUAUGUUUAUUGAACAAUUAUUAUGGCUAAAAGAAUUCACAGUAAAAAAAUGUAUUGUAAAAUAUACAGAAGUUUUAUGAAUAAUGUGACAAAAUUAAAUAAUGCUGUCAGUCAUAUGCGUCUUUAACUUUUAUUUUGAUUUUUAACAAAAAAGGCGUGUUGGGAGAUGGAGAUAGGGUUUGUAACAAUAACUUUACAAAAGUGUACAAAAACAAGCACUUCUACAUGAUUUUGUGCGCAGUAGUAGUUACAUAUUGCAUCAAGAUUUUUUAAGUUAAGGUGUAGUACUACCAUCUAUGUUGGAGUGUCAACCAACACUCUAAACACUUUGUUUCUUUAAAGAGAAUAAUUGAUUUAACUAGGAGCUGAACAAAACUGUGGACAUGUUUCUUGGCAGACAUUUGAGACUUUGACCCGGGUGGAUCAGGUGUGUGAGAGACUCCAAAAAGCGACAUCUCUGCUCGAGGACAGGCUGGCUGAGCUUGAAAACUGGAGCACAGAAGCCCAAGAGGUCUGCCACCACCUAAAAGAAAGGCAGCAUAGGGGCCACUGGGGGCCACAUCCCAGGACUAAAGUGAGCAAAAUCAAGUUAUUGAGUUCAUUUGGUUGAUUAAAACCAAAUGUUUUCACAUUGUCGUC